GGCCCCAUUCUCCCUCUUCCUCCCCUAAAAUCCCACACAUCAUUGCCAUGCAACAUGCUCACUGCCCCGGGCUGCAUUCUUCAGCACUUCCUUCUACCAACACUUGCCACAUCACCUCACAUCAUCUCUUUCUACUUCUGUUUCAAGUCUGCAGCACCUCUGCAGAAGAUCUCACUGUGAAUGUGGUAUUACACAAAAACAGAAAAUGCUACAAAUGACUGCUGAUGAAACUGCAUUGUCUCUCCCUGGUCUUGACACAAACAGCACAACCAAGGACAGCAGAACUAACAUCUACCACCAGAUCUUCCCACUCAUCCCAUACACAACUAUGCUCCACCCAAAAAGCAACAGUUUUUACAGCAGAGUUGUGUUACUGGUGCUGUGCUCUGAACCAGCAGCUACUGGCAAAACACAGAACAUAGAAUAGAAGCACCCCAACCAAACUCACCUGGAAGGGCAGAUCCAUGGCACUGUUUCCAAUCUGAUUCACAUUUGGCAGCGACCCACCAUAGUACUGGCCACGACUCUGUCCCAGCUGCAAAUAUUGGGUUUUCUGCAACUGUAACUAAAAGAAAACAAAGAGGAAAGUGUAAGGGUCACACAGUUGUUUUUCAGCUUUUAAUUAACUCUUCCCCAUAUCACUGAUCACUGAGAAUGGAUACCACCUGCAACAGUAUGGAUUUAACUCAUGAGGAUACCACUCCUCUGCCACACAGAACCUCUGUGACAGCACACAGGGACUGCUGUGGAAUCAACAAUCACAUUCCAUUUCCAACAAAGAGCAGCCCCAUGGAAGCACACGGUCCUUCUGUCACCUGCUGCACUGCUAAAGCAGGAGUAAAGAACCCGUAUCAGUCCAGCCAUGCCUCUAUCAUCAAACCCAACCAGCUGGGCACACACACAGCCGACGUGUGAGGAAGUCAGAUCAGUGUAUGGAGUGUACGGUUUAACCAAACACACUUGGUAGCAAUCUAGGUAGCAGAGAUGCUUGCUUCCCACCAUCAGCAAAGGAAACAGCACUACAGCUUCACCAUAUUGCCUCUGAGGUGGAGCAGAGAUGUUUCCAGCAAGGUGAGGCAGAGCCAUGCUGCUCAUGCUGGCAGUGAGGCCGAAGCAGAGCCCUGUGCUCAGCAGUAGUGGUGGCAGUGGGGCUGAGCAGUGCUGAUGGUGAUGGUACCACUCAGAGAGGAGCAACGGGAAUGCUGUGCUGAUGGCGUGCUGGCACUUCUGGGUCCAAGCAGGAACACCUGAAUCAGACAGCUCAGAGAUCCCAUCCACAAAGCACCACCUGGACCCCCCCACCUUGCACUUCCAUCCCCUGACACAACAUUACAACACAGGCACACGAGAGCAGAGGAGCACUGCACUGUGUUCCAGCCCCCGGCGCAGAGCUGUGAAGGCACAGCGUUGGAACGAGCUGUGCUUUUUGCCUGCUCCGUACAUAUGUUUUUGUUGCUACAAAAAGGCUUGCUUGGGAUUGGUGCCAAACGUGAAGUAAGUGCUUCAGCAGGUGCUGGUCUCUCCUAAGGAACCUCCUAUAAGGCAUGCUGGGCUGGGGAGUUGCUUCAUGUCCUCAGUACGUACCCAGCACAACGUAACGGGGAGGUCACCACCAUUUGUCUUCCUACUGCACUUAAACAUAGAAAUGAGGAAGCACAGGAGAUCAAGAAUUACAGCAGACCUCAAAACCGACCUGGUUAUGCAGCUUUGGUGUGCCAUUCAUCUCACCAGCACUCCCUUCAAUAAACACUUUUGGAGCUCUGUGCCAAAACUAAAAGCAAUUGCUUUACUGCUAUCCGGUAUUACUGCAGGCUCUGUGUUUGCUCCUCUCCUCGGCCUGCUGCCUCUUCAGUGCUCACCACCUGUAUUCAUUCCCUGAGCCACAAGAACUCAGCGAGCCUACACUGCAGCAUUCCCAUCCCUGUGCUCUGUGCCCAAGGUAAGAGCUGCAGACAGCAGAACAGACCAGCUCUGGCCUGAGGCAGCUGGGGGGGCAAAGGAAAAAGCUGUUCUUUGUCACAGCACUUCAUUUCUGCUCAGCACGGCUGCUCCAAAGGAACACUCCCCAUAACACAGACCCUGACCAGAGCUCUCAUUUCCCUCCACCACCAUUUCUCUUCCUCUCUUCCUCUACUUCAAAAGUUUUUAAGCCAGAAACCAAUUUGGAGUUAUUUUGUCAUUAAACCAUUUCCGUGCAUGCAGUUUUUUAGCAUAGCUGCAAGCAUUCCCUAAAUAAAAGCACGUUGGUACA